rnacentral:misc_RNA from 1 species
AGUUUUGUGUGCGCAAGGAAUUGGUAAUCUUUAUCCCUUUCAUGAAUUCUAUUGUUGAUUAUUUGGACUUGUUGGGUUCAAAUGAAAAGAAAGUACCUAAUAGCAUGGAAUUGUAUAAUAUUGUAAAAUUGAAAAUGCAAUAUUGUUAUCAAUCAUGCGUUCCUCGGCAUUUAUCCCUUUAUUUUUCUUUUUUGCUAUAUGGGAAAUUU